CUUUCUCUGAGCUUGUUACCGUGGAGGGCUGGGCCCGGUUUCUAAUCGCCCCCUUCACCGGGCUGCCUGCCGCUGGCUGCGGAAAGUGUGGGUUUGGCUGCAUGAUGGCCUCGUAAUGGCUGUGGUGACGCCCUCUGCGUCUUCUCCCAGCGCCAGCCUUUCAACAGAGCAGCACAUUAUGCCUGGAUAAGACUCAAAGAGCAGCUUAAUAUCAGGUUCUCUGGGGCUGUAAUCAUCGGUUCAGGAUGGAGCAGACACAGCCGCAGCAAGGCCUCUGUGCAGCCCCCGGUUUAAAACACAUCAACGCAUCCGUGGGCACUUUUGUGAGUUAAAGCUCAACUUACACAUCUGCCUGUAUCCAUAGGAAAUGAAUGAAAAUAAACAAACAAAUUCCUUGCAUUCAA
rnacentral:lncRNA from 1 species